GCCCAGAUGGCGGAAUUGGUAGACGCGCACGCUUCAGGAGCGUGUAGGAGCAAUCCUGUGGAGGUUCGAGUCCUCUUCUGGGCACCA
rnacentral:tRNA from 1 species